rnacentral:sRNA from 1 species
AAGUAGUGCAAAAUGUGCGGGAGCACCAU